UCAUCAAUGGUUUCCAUGGUGACAAGUAGAGGGAGUGAUGGAGGGCGAUGCAGUGAGACCAGUUCCAGAGGCUGGAUCAUCUUCCAUAUUCAUCAGUUCACAUAAGCAAGACUGGAAGCGGGAGGGCGAAAGCAAGUGGUUUGAUGGUUACUGGAAAAUAUACAUCUCGACAUCUGCACAUGAAUGAAAACCUUUGAGGAUAAGCAAAGUUGGAGUCAGUCUAUCUACUUUCUCCAAGGCUGAACAGAACUGGCUUAAAUCAUCUCAGAAUUAUCAGAGGGGAAUGAAGAUGGUGCUGGAUUUACAGUCAAGGAACCAAGAGUCAGAUCUUGCUCUGCAACAAACUCAUCUAUGCAACUUC